UACAGAGACUGCAAGCGUUAUUCGGAUUCACUGGGCGUAAAGGGUGCGCAGGCGGUUGCGUGUGUUAGGUGUGAAAGCCCGAGGCUCAACCUCGGAAUUGCGCCUAAAACUACGUGACUAGAGCAUUGGAGAGGGUAGCGGAAUUCAUGGUGUAGCAGUGAAAUGCGUAGAUAUCAUGAGGAACACCAGAGGCGAAGGCGGCUACCUGGACAAUUGCUGACGCUCAGGCACGAAAGCGUGGGGAGCAAAAGGG
rnacentral:rRNA from 1 species